GUUCAGGUAGGGUUAGAGCAAAGGACUGAAAAUCCUUGUGUCAGUGAUUCGAAUCCACUUCUAAGCG
rnacentral:tRNA from 1 species